GGAAGGGCCAUUAGGGAGGCAGAGGCAGGCAGAUCUCUGUGAGUUCAAAGCCAGCCAAGGCUUUAUAGUGAUACCCUCAAAAAGAAAAAAAGAAAAGAAAAGAAAAGAAAAGAAAAGAAAAGAAAAGAAAGAGCGAGCCCGUGCAUGGUGCUUAGAGAGUGUGGCUCAAAACCUUUACACAUACAGUUCUCUCUGCCUGAGAUUUUCUUUGAGCUAGGCUUAAAGGUCUCCCUCUUGUCUUAGAAGGACUGAAGCCCACACCACAGCUUUAAGCUCUCCUAACGGGAGUGUCCUGUGGUACAGGGACAGGUGACAGCAAACUCCUCUGAUCUCAGCAUAUAGGAGGCUGUGAGACAGGAGGUCACAGGUUCCAGGCCAGCCUGGGCUACAGGCAAGACCCUGCCCCCAAGUACAAAAAAAAAAAAAAAAAAAGCAAGCAAGCUUGCCCUCUGUGCUGGGUGCACAGACCCAGCUAGGUAGGUUGAGGUGUUUUCUUCACACUCACAAAGCCCUGGGUUCUAUCCCCAGCACUCUGGAAACUGACAGUGGUGGAGUGUGUCUGCAGUUCCAGCACUCCAGAGGUGAAAGGCAGGAGUUCAAAGUCACCCUCAACUGCAGAACAAGUUGAGCUCAGCCUGGGAUACAUGGGACCCUUUCUUUUUUUCUUUCUUUCUUUCUUUCUUUCUUUCUUUUUUUUUUUUUUUUUUUUGUUGUUGUUGUUGUUUUUCGAGACAGGGUUUCUCUGUGUAGUCCUGGCUGUCCUGGAACUCACUCUGUAGACCAGGCUGGCCUCGAACUCAGAAAUUCAUCUGCCUCUGCCUCCCAAGUGCUGGAAUUAGGAUCCUUUCU
rnacentral:lncRNA from 1 species